CCAAUAGCGUAUAUUAAAGUUGUUGCAGUUAAAAAGCUCGUAGUUGAAUUUCGGGGUUCAUCCGUUGGUCGGGCUUUUUUGGUCUGUACUGGCGUGAUGGAUUCCUACCUUCUGAAUAACCAGCAUGUCAUUAAUUUGGUGCGCUGGGGAAGCAGAACUGUUACCUUGAAAAAAUUAGAGUGCUUAAAGCAGGCUAUCGCCUGAAUACAUUAGCAUGGAAUAAUGAAAUAGGACGGCAUGGUUCUAUUUUGUUGGUUUCUAGGAUCACCGUAAUGAUUAAUAGGGAUAGUUGGGGGCAUUAGUAUUCAAUUGUCAGAGGUGAAAUUCUUGGAUUUAUUGAAGACUAACUUCUGCGAAAGCAUUUGCCAAGGAUGUUUUCAUUAAUCAAGAACGAAAGUUAGGGGAUCGAAGACGAUCAGAUACCGUCGUAGUCUUAACCAUAAACUAUGCCGACUAGGGAUCGGACGAUGUUAAUUUUUUAAUGACUCGUUCGGCGCCUUACG
rnacentral:rRNA from 1 species